rnacentral:misc_RNA from 1 species
CGCAUAUUGCGCCCUUUGGCAUUCCGAAGGGCAUACCUGUUCGAGCGUCAUUACACCCCUCAAAGAUAACUCUUUGGCGUUGGACAAUGCCUCAAGGCAUGCCUCAAAAUCAGCGAUGGUGAUAUUCAACCACAGGCGCGCAAACGUCGUCUAGCUGGCGGGAUGUUGCUAGUCAAUUGAUGAAUUGCUCAAUGUUGACCUCGGAUCAGGUAGGAAUACCCGCUGAACUUAA